rnacentral:rRNA from 1 species
GGUCUGUUCGCCCUUUAAAAUCUAACAUGAGCUGAGUUCAGAACGGCGUGAGCUAGUUCAGUUUCUAUCCUCUUUUUGAAAUGAGCUAAUUUUGUACGAAAGGACUUUUUCGCUAAAGCAAUGCUUUGUCACAAAUCUGUGGUUGCAUAGAUAAUAGGGUAUAAUAGGUUGAUUAGCCUAUAGGAAGGGUUA